GACGAACGCUGGCGGCGUGCUUAACACAUGCAAGUCGAGCGGUAAGGCCCUUUCGGGGGUACACGAGCGGCGAACGGGUGAAUAACACGUGGGUGACCUGCCCUCAGCUCUGGGAUAAGCCUGGGAAACUGGGUCUAAUACUGGAUAUGACUCCACGGUGCAUGUCGUGGGGUGGAAAGCCUUGUGCGGCUGAGGAUGGGCCCGCGGCCUAUCAGCUUGUUGGUGGGGUGAUGGCCUACCAAGGCGACGACGGGUAGCCGGCCUGAGAGGGCGACCGGCCACACUGGGACUGAGACACGGCCCAGACUCCUACGGGAGGCAGCAGUGGGGAAUCUUGCGCAAUGGGCGAAAGCCUGACGCAGCGACGCCGCGUGAGGGAUGACGGCCUCGGUUGUAA
rnacentral:rRNA from 1 species